rnacentral:rRNA from 1 species
UUAAGCGACUAAGCGUACACGGUGGAUGCCCUGGCAGUCAGAGGCGAUGAAGGACGUGCUAAUCUGCGAUAAGCGUCGGUGAGGUGAUAUGAACCGUUAUAACCGGCGAUUUCCGAAUGGGGAAACCCAGUGUGUUUCGACACACUAUCAUUAACUGAAUCCAUAGGUUAAUGAGGCGAACCGGGGGAACUGAAACAUCUAAGUACCCCGAGGAAAAGAAAUCAACCGAGAUUCCCCCAGUAGCGGCGAGCGAACGGGGAGGAGCCCAGAGCCUGAAUCAGUGUGUGUGUUAGUGGAAGCGUCUGGAAAGGCGCGCGAUACAGGGUGACAGCCCCGUACACAAAAAUGCACAUAUUGUGAGCUCGAUGAGUAGGGCGGGACACGUGGUAUCCUGUCUGAAUAUGGGGGGACCAUCCUCCAAGGCUAAAUACUCCUGACUGACCGAUAGUGAACCAGUACCGUGAGGGGAAGGCGAAAAGUAACCCCGGCGAGGGGAGUGAAAAAGAACCUGAAACCGUGUACGUACAAGCAGUGGGAGCCUCUUAAUGGGGUGACUGCGUACCUUUUGUAUAAUGGGUCAGCGACUUAUAUUCUGUAGCAAGGUUAACCGAAUAGGGGAGCCGAAGGGAAACCAAGUCUUAACUGGGCGUUAAGUUGCAGGGUAUAGACCCGAAACCCGGUGAUCUAGCCAUGGGCAGGUUGAAGGUUGGGUAACACUAACUGGAGGACCGAACCGACUAAUGUUGAAAAAUUAGCGGAUGACUUGUGGCUGGGGGUGAAAGGCCAAUCAAACCGGGAGAUAGCUGGUUCUCCCCGAAAGCUAUUUAGGUAGCGCCUCGUGAAUUCAUCUCCGGGGGUAGAGCACUGUUUCGGCAAGGGGGUCAUCCCGACUUACCAACCCGAUGCAAACUGCGAAUACCGGAGAAUGUUAUCACGGGAGACACACGGCGGGUGCUAACGUCCGUCGUGAAGAGGGAAACAACCCAGACCGCCAGCUAAGGUCCCAAAGUCAUGGUUAAGUGGGAAACGAUGUGGGAAGGCCCAGACAGCCAGGAUGUUGGCUUAGAAGCAGCCAUCAUUUAAAGAAAGCGUAAUAGCUCACUGGUCGAGUCGGCCUGCGCGGAAGAUGUAACGGGGCUAAACCAUGCACCGAAGCUGCGGCAGCGACACUAUGUGUUGUUGGGUAGGGGAGCGUUCUGUAAGCCUGUGAAGGUGGCCUGUGAGGGUUGCUGGAGGUAUCAGAAGUGCGAAUGCUGACAUAAGUAACGAUAAAGCGGGUGAAAAAGCCCGCUCGCCGGAAGACCAAGGGUUCCUGUCCAACGUUAAUCGGGGCAGGGUGAGUCGACCCCUAAGGCGAGGCCGAAAGGCGUAGUCGAUGGGAAACAGGUUAAUAUUCCUGUACUUGGUGUUACUGCGAAGGGGGGACGGAGAAGGCUAUGUUGGCCGGGCGACGGUUGUCCCGGUUUAAGCGUGUAGGCUGGUUUUCCAGGCAAACCCGGAAAACCAAGGCUGAGGCGUGAUGACGAGGCACUACGGUGCUGAAGUGACAAAUGCCCUGCUUCCAGGAAAAGCCUCUAAGCAUCAGGUAACAUCAAAUCGUACCCCAAACCGACACAGGUGGUCAGGUAGAGAAUACCAAGGCGCUUGAGAGAACUCGGGUGAAGGAACUAGGCAAAAUGGUGCCGUAACUUCGGGAGAAGGCACGCUGAUAUGUAGGUGAAGCGACUUGCUCGUGGAGCUGAAAUCAGUCGAAGAUACCAGCUGGCUGCAACUGUUUAUUAAAAACACAGCACUGUGCAAACACGAAAGUGGACGUAUACGGUGUGACGCCUGCCCGGUGCCGGAAGGUUAAUUGAUGGGGUUAGCGGCAACGCGAAGCUCUUGAUCGAAGCCCCGGUAAACGGCGGCCGUAACUAUAACGGUCCUAAGGUAGCGAAAUUCCUUGUCGGGUAAGUUCCGACCUGCACGAAUGGCGUAAUGAUGGCCAGGCUGUCUCCACCCGAGACUCAGUGAAAUUGAACUCGCUGUGAAGAUGCAGUGUACCCGCGGCAAGACGGAAAGACCCCGUGAACCUUUACUAUAGCUUGACACUGAACAUUGAGCCUUGAUGUGUAGGAUAGGUGGGAGGCUUUGAAGUGUGGACGCCAGUCUGCAUGGAGCCGGCCUUGAAAUACCACCCUUUAAUGUUUGAUGUUCUAACGUGGCCCGUAAUCCGGGUUGCGGACAGUGUCUGGUGGGUAGUUUGACUGGGGCGGUCUCCUCCUAAAGAGUAACGGAGGAGCACGAAGGUUGGCUAAUCCUGGUCGGACAUCAGGAGGUUAGUGCAAUGGCAUAAGCCAGCUUGACUGCGAGCGUGACGGCGCGAGCAGGUGCGAAAGCAGGUCAUAGUGAUCCGGUGGUUCUGAAUGGAAGGGCCAUCGCUCAACGGAUAAAAGGUACUCCGGGGAUAACAGGCUGAUACCGCCCAAGAGUUCAUAUCGACGGCGGUGUUUGGCACCUCGAUGUCGGCUCAUCACAUCCUGGGGCUGAAGUAGGUCCCAAGGGUAUGGCUGUUCGCCAUUUAAAGUGGUACGCGAGCUGGGUUUAGAACGUCGUGAGACAGUUCGGUCCCUAUCUGCCGUGGGCGCUGGAGAACUGAGGGGGGCUGCUCCUAGUACGAGAGGACCGGAGUGGACGCAUCACUGGUGUUCGGGUUGUCAUGCCAAUGGCACUGCCCGGUAGCUAAAUGCGGAAGAGAUAAGUGCUGAAAGCAUCUAAGCACGAAACUUGCCCCGAGAUGAGUUCUCCCUGACCCUUUAAGGGUCCUGAAGGAACGUUGAAGACGACGACGUUGAUAGGCCGGGUGUGUAAGCGCAGCGAUGCGUUGAGCUAACCGGUACUAAUGAACCGUGAGGCUUAACCUU